rnacentral:misc_RNA from 1 species
GAUGAAGAACGUAGCGAAAUGCGAUACGUAGUGUGAAUUGCAGAAUUCAGUGAAUCAUCGAAUCUUUGAACGCACAUUGCACCUCUCGGUAUUCCGGGAGGUAUGCCUGUUCGAGCGUCAUUUGUACCCUCAAGCUCUGCUUGGUGUUGGGUGUUUGUUCCGCCUCUGUGUGUGAACUCGCCUCAAAACAAUUGGCAGCCGGCGUACUUGUUUCGGAGCGCAGCACAUUUUGCGAUCCAGAUCAACGUACAGCGGCAUCCAAGAUGCCUUAUUUAACGCUCUUGACCUCGGAUCAGGUAGGGAUACCCGCUGAACUUAAGCAUAUCAAUAAGCGGAGGA